AUUGAACGCUGGCGGUAGGCCUAACACAUGCAAGUCGAACGGCAGCACAGUAAUAGCUUGCUCUUACGGGUGGCGAGUGGCGGACGGGUGAUGAAUACAUCGGAAUCUACUUUUUCGUGGGGGAUAACGUAGGGAAACUUACGCUAAUACCGCAUACGACCUACGGGUGAAAGCAGGGGAUCUUCCGACCUUGCGCGAUUGAAUGAGCCGAUGUCGGAUUAGCUAGUUGGCGGGGUAAAGGCCCACCAAGGCGACGAUCCGUAGCUGGUCUGAGAGGAUGAUCAGUCACACUGGAACUGAGACACGGUCCAGACUCCUACGGGAGGCAGCAGUGGGGAAUAUUGGACAAUGGGCGAAAGCCUGAUCCAGCCAUACCGCGUGGGUGAAGAAGGCCUUCGGGUUGUAAAGCACUUUUGUUGGGAAAGAAAAGCAGCAGGUUAAUACCCCGCUGUUCUGACGGUACCAAAAGAAUAAGCACCGGCUAACUUCGUG
rnacentral:rRNA from 1 species